AGUAAUGUCUGGGAAAUUGCCUGAUGGAGGGGGAUAACUACUGGAAACGGUAGCUAAUACCGCAUAACGUCGCAAGACCAAAGUGGGGGACCUUCGGGCCUCAUGCCAUCAGAUGUGCCCAGAUGGGAUUAGCUAGUAGGUGGGGUAACGGCUCACCUAGGCGACGAUCCCUAGCUGGUCUGAGAGGAUGACCAGCCACACUGGAACUGAGACACGGUCCAG
rnacentral:rRNA from 1 species